rnacentral:rRNA from 1 species
GACGAACGCUGGCGGCGUGCCUAAUACAUGCAAGUAGAACGCUGAAGGAGGAGCUUGCUUCUCCGGAUGAGUUGCGAACGGGUGAGUAACGCGUAGGUAACCUGCCUGGUAGCGGGGGAUAACUAUUGGAAACGAUAGCUAAUACCGCAUAACAGUAGAUGUUGCAUGACAUUUGCUUAAAAGGUGCAAUUGCAUCACUACCAGAUGGACCUGCGUUGUAUUAGCUAGUUGGUGAGGUAACGGCUCACCAAGGCGACGAUACAGAGCCGACCGGAGAGGGUGGGCAGCCACACUGGGACGGAGACACGGCCCAGAAUCCUACGGGAGGCAGCAGUAGGGAAACUUCGGCAAUGGACGGAAGUCUGACCGAGCAACGCCGCGGGAGUGAAGAAGGUUUUCGGAUCGUAAAGCUCUGUUGUAAGAGAAGAACGAGUGUGAGAGUGGAAAGUUCACACUGUGACGGUAUCUGACCAGAAAGGGACGGCUAACUACGUG